rnacentral:rRNA from 1 species
UACGUAGGGGGGCAAGCGUUGUCCGGAAUUAUUGGGCGUAAAGCGCGCGCAGGCGGUUGAUUAAGUUUGGUGUUUAAGCCCGGGGCUCAACCCCGGUUCGCACUGAAAACUGAUCGACUUGAGUGUAGGAGAGGAAAGUGGAAUUCCACGUGUAGCGGUGAAAUGCGUAGAGAUGUGGAGGAACACCAGUGGCGAAGGCGACUUUCUGGCCUAUAACUGACGCUGAGGCG